UACGAAGGGGGGCUAGCGUUGUUCGGAAUCACUGGGCGUAAAGGGCGCGUAGGCGGCCGAUCAAGUCGGGGGGUGAAAGCCUGUGGCUCAACCACAGAAUUGCCUUCGAUACUGUUUGGCUUGAGACCGGAAGAGGUUAGUGGAACUGCGAGUGUAGAGGUGAAAUUCGUAGAUAUUCGCAAGAACACCAGUGGGCGAAGGCGGCUGACUGGUCCGGUUCCUGACGCUGAGGCGCGAAAGCGUGGGGAGCAAACAGG
rnacentral:rRNA from 1 species